rnacentral:rRNA from 1 species
ACGCUGGCGGCGUGCCUAAUACAUGCAAGUAGAACGCUGAAGGAGGAGCUUGCUUCUCCGGAUGAGUUGCGAACGGGUGAGUAACGCGUAGGUAACCUGCCUGGUAGCGGGGGAUAACUAUUGGAAACGAUAGCUAAUACCGCAUAAGAGUAGAUGUUGCAUGACAUUUGCUUAAAAGGUGCAAUUGCAUCACUACCAGAUGGACCUGCGUUGUAUUAGCUAGUUGGUGGGGUAACGGCUCACCAAGGCGACGAUACAUAGCCGACCUGAGAGGGUGAUCGGCCACACUGGGACUGAGACACGGCCCAGACUCCUGCGGGAGGCAGCAGUAGGGAAUCUUCGGCAAUGGACGGAAGUCUGACCGAGCAACGCCGCGUGAGUGAAGAAGGUUUUCGGAUCGUAAAGCUCUGUUGUAAGAGAAGAACGAGUGUGAGAGUGGAAAGUUCACACUGUGACAGUAUCUUACCAGAAAGGGACGGCUAACUACGUGCCAGCAGCCGCGGUAAUACGUAGGUCCCGAGCGUUGUCCGGAUUUAUUGGGCGUAAAGCGAGCGCAGGCGGUUAGAUAAGUCUGAAGUUAAAGGCUGUGGCUUAACCAUAGUACGCUUUGGAAACUGUUUAACUUGAGUGCAAGAGGGGAGAGUGGAAUUCCAUGUGUAGCGGUGAAAUGCGUAGAUAUAUGGAGGAACACCGGUGGCGAAAGCGGCUCUCUGGCUUGUAACUGACGCUGAGGCUCGAAAGCGUGGGGAGCAGACAGGAUUAGAUACCCUGGUAGUCCACGCCGUAAACGAUGAGUGCUAGGUGUUAGACCCUCUUCGGGGUUUAGUGCCGUAGCUAACGCAUUAAGCACUCCGCCUGGGGAGUACGACCGCAAGGUUGAAACUCAAAGGAAUUGACGGGGGCCCGCACAAGCGGUGG